rnacentral:rRNA from 1 species
GAGUGAACGCUGGCGGUAGGCCUAACACAUGCAAGUCGAACGGCAGCCCAGUAAGAGCUUGCUCUUACGGGUGGCGAGUGGCGGACGGGUGCGGAAUACAUCGGAAUCUACUUUUUCGUGGGGGAUAACGUAGGGAAACUUACGCUAAUACCGCAUACGACCUACGGGUGAAAGCAGGGGAUCUUCGGACCUUGCGCGAUUGAAUGAGCCGAUGUCGGAUUAGCUAGUUGGCGGGGUAAAGGCCCACCAAGGCGACGAACCGUAGCUGGUCUGAGAGGAUGAUCGGCCACACGGGAAGGGAGACACGGUCAAGAGUCCUACGGGAGGCAGCAGUGGGGAAUGGUGGACAAUGGGCGCAAGUCUGAUCCAGCCAUACCGCGUGGGUGAAAAAGGCCUUCGGGUUGUAAAGCCCUUUUGUGGGGAAAAAAAAGCAGCAGGUUAAUACCCCGCGGUUCUGACGGUACCCAAAGAAUAAGCACCGGCUAACUUCGUG